rnacentral:rRNA from 1 species
AACGCUGGCGGCGUGCUUAACACAUGCAAGUCGAACGGAAAGGCCAGUGCUUGCACUGGUACUCGAGUGGCGAACGGGUGAGUAACACGUGGGUGAUCUGCCCCGCACUUCGGGAUAAGCCUGGGAAACUGGGUCUAAUACCGGAUAGGACCACUUCUUGGAGGUUGUGGUGGAAAGUUUUUUCGGUGUGGGAUGAGCUCGCGGCCUAUCAGCUUGUUGGUGGGGUAAUGGCCUACCAAGGCGUCGACGGGUAGCCGGCCUGAGAGGGUGUACGGCCACAUUGGGACUGAGAUACGGCCCAGACUCCU